rnacentral:rRNA from 1 species
GACGAACGCUGGCGGCGUGCCUAAUACAUGCAAGUAGAACGCUGAAGGAGGAGCUUGCUUCUCUGGAUGAGUUGCGAACGGGUGAGUAACGCGUAGGUAACCUGCCUGGUAGCGGGGGAUAACUAUUGGAAACGAUAGCUAAUACCGCAUAAUAGUAGAUGUUGCAUGACAUUUGCUUAAAAGGUGCAAUUGCAUCACUACCAGAUGGACCUGCGUUGUAUUAGCUAGUUGGUGGGGUAACGGCUCACCAAGGCGACGAUACAUAGCCGACCUGAGAGGGUGAUCGGCCACACUGGGACUGAGACACGGCCCAGACUCCUACGGGAGGCAGCAGGAGGGAAUCUUCGGCAAUGGACGGAAGUCUGACCGAGCAACGCCGCGUGAGUGAAGAAGGUUUUCGGAUCGUAAAGCUCUGUUGUAAGAGAAGAACGAGUGUGAGAGUGGAAAGUUCACACUGUGACGGUAUCUUACCAGAAAGGGACGGCUAACUACGUG